rnacentral:rRNA from 1 species
GACGAACGCUGGCGGCGUGCUUAACACAUGCAAGUCGAACGGAAAGGCCCUGCUUUUGUGGGGUGCUCGAGUGGCGAACGGGUGAGUAACACGUGAGUAACCUGCCCUUGACUUUGGGAUAACUUCAGGAAACUGGGGCUAAUACCGGAUAGGAGCUCCUGCUGCAUGGUGGGGGUUGGAAAGUUUCGGCGGUUGGGGAUGGACUCGCGGCUUAUCAGCUUGUUGGUGGGGUAGUGGCUUACCAAGGCUUUGACGGGUAGCCGGCCUGAGAGGGUGACCGGCCACAUUGGGACUGAGAUACGGCCCAGACUCCUACGGGGGGCAACGGGGGGGAAUAUUGCCCAAUGGGCGGAAGCCUGAUGCAGCAACGCCGCGUGCGGGAUGACGGCCUUCGGGUUGUAAACCGCUUUCGCCUGUGACGAAGCGUGAGUGACGGUAAUGGGUAAAGAAGCACCGGCUAACUACGUG